GACGAACGCUGGCGGCGCGCUUAACACAUGCAAGUCGAGCGAGAACCAGACCUUCGGGUCUGGGGACAGCGGCGAACGGGUGAGUAACACGUGGGUAAUCAACCCUCGGUACUGGGAUAGCCCGGGGAAACCCGGAUUAAUACCGGAUGGCCCUUCGGAUCUUCGGUUCUGAAGGAAAAGGUAGCUUCGGCCUCCGACCGAGGACGAGCCCGCGGCGGAUUAGCUUGUUGGUGGGGUAACGGCCUACCAAGGCGGCGAUCCGUAGCUGGUCUGAGAGGACGAUCAGCCACACUGGGACUGAGACACGGCCCAGACUUCUACGGAAGGCAGCAGUGGGGAAUCUUGCGCUAAUGCGGGAAACCGUGACGCAGCGACGCCGCGUGAGGGAAGAAGGCCUUCGGGUUGUAAACCUCUUUCAGAAGGGACGAAGCUACUCGGGUUAAUAGCCCAGAGGGUGACGGUACCUUCAGAAGAAGCCCCGGCUAACUACGUGCCAGCCGCCGCAGUAAGAC
rnacentral:rRNA from 1 species